GAAGUCCCCUUUUCCCCAUCCGAAAAAAGUGCUCCGGAACUCCCGGCAUGCCGGCGUCGCACUCUCCGGCCGAAUUCUCAGUUUUAUCACCGCCAGUGAUUGCCUCACCGUUUUCACACCACCGGAUGUAGGUUAAGGGGUCCCAUCUCCGUUUUUUCCUCGCCGCUCCGAGGUUCGGCAGAGGUUGUGGCACUGUUUGGUCCUCCAUUGCACGCACGAGUGCCAAAACGAAAUCGUGAGUCUCCGUAGGACACCGCAGUCUCUAGCGAUUUGGAAUUUUAAUUAAGUCUUCCUAAACAAGGACGCGCUGUCCAUAAAAACAGACAGCUUCGCGUGCAGAAUAGUCGGUAGCGUGGAACGGAGUCUUCUGCAAAUACGUUAUAGCACGGUGGCACCUGUUUUUCAACGUAUCACAUGCCUUAGAGAUCGGCUGUUGGUUCUCUUCACUUGGCGGCUUUAGAAUUCCGCAGUGCGGCGGGAAACAGAAAGGCUAGGUUGAAGAACCGAAAGUUUUCCGUAUGCUUUUGCGAAACGAACUGUUUUGCACACGGGACGGCAUUGCAAAGAACUUAAGAGGAACCUUCUACCAGGAAGGGUGCGUGCAAUCUUUUCGUUCAGUAUCUACGGCAGCCAGGCGGACACCUGGAUUGGCAAGAUUGCCGCCAGUGCAGAUUCUUGCUAACUUCUUACGUGUGUGUCCGUUACUAGACGAUGUGAUGGUACAAUCCGGGGACUAGCGAUCUCAAGCGUGUCCAACCAUUUAUCGCCAGCGGAGAUAUCCGAACCAGCGACAAAUAAAUGCUGCAUGAUUGUAUGUUGGUGGCAGCGUUGGAGCAU
rnacentral:lncRNA from 1 species